rnacentral:ncRNA from 1 species
GGUCAAGUGACUAAGAGCAUGUGGUGGAUGCCUUGGCGAUGAUAGGCGACGAAAGACGUGAUAGCCUGCGAUAAGCUUCGGGGAGCUGGCAAAUAAGCUUUGAUCCGGAGAUUUCUGAAUGGGGAAACCCACCUGCAAGUCAGGUAUCUUGUACUGAAUACAUAGGUGCAAGAGGCGAACCAGGGGAACUGAAACAUCUAAGUACCCUGAGGAAAAGAAAUCAACCGAGAUUCCCUUAGUAGUGGCGAGCGAAAUCGGAAGAGCCUUCUAGUGAUAGUCAGACGGUUAACAAAACGGAAUGGAAAGUCCGGCCAUAGUAGGUGAUAGCCCUGUAUGUGAAAACCGACUGGUGGUACUGAGCUAGAGAAAAGUAGGACGGAGCACGAGAAACUUUGUCUGAAUAUGGGGGGACCAUCCUCCAAGGCUAAAUACUACUGACUGACCGAUAGUGAACCAGUACCGUGAGGGAAAGGCGAAAAGAACCCCGGAGAGGGGAGUGAAAUAGAUCCUGAAACCGUAUGCGUACAAACAGUAGGAGCCCGCAAGGGUGACUGCGUACCUCUUGUAUAAUGGGUCAUCGACUUAGUCUAACUAGCAAGCUUAAGCCGUUAGGUGUAGGCGCCUA